UACGAAGGGGGCUAGCGUUGUCCGGAAUCAUUGGGCGUAAAGAGCGUGUAGGCGGCCACUUAAGUCCUGCGUGAAAUCUUGCGGCUCAACCGCAAGCGGUCGUGGGAAACUGGGUGGCUAGAGUGCGGGAGAGGAGAGUGGAAUUCCUGGUGUAGCGGUGGAAUGCGCAGAUAUCAGGAAGAACACCCGUGGCGAAGGCGGCUCUCUGGAACGCAACUGACGCUGAGACGCGAAAGCGUGGGGAGCAAACAGG
rnacentral:rRNA from 1 species